GCUAGGAGGCGAGCAGCGGUCGCUGCACGGUGGCUGGCAGUGGUGGUGGGUCGGCUGGAAGGCGACGGCGCUUGAGGAAUGGCUGCGAUCGACGAGGGGCUGCGGCAACAGAGGAAGCUAUGUUUCUGCAACCGCUGCAACGAGGGCCUGCGGCAACCGGCCGCUGUGGCUGCGACCCAAGGGGGGGGGUCACGGCUAGGGUUGCGGCUGGGAGGCAGGCGGCAGUGAUCGAUCGGCCGGGAAGCAGCGACGGCAGUGGAGAAGGAGUUGCCCUGUAGCGGCGGUAGAGAAGAGGAGCAGGGCUGCGGCGGAGUGGGACGCUGGCAGCGUCGUCUCUUGGCAGCGGUGGUGGCUCGGGUGUGAGGAGGCGAUGGACUCUGGCCGGAAGUGGGGCAGAGUCGGUUGCUGGCCGGAGAGCAGCGACGGCCGGCGGGUGGGCUGGCCGGACGUAGGGGAAGCAGAGGUGCGUGGCUGCGGUUGCUGCUUCUUCUUUCUUUCUUUCUUUCUUUCUUUCUUUCUUUCUUUCUUUCUUCGUUUCUCUUUUUUUUUUUUUUUUAUAGCUUCGUUGCAGCGAGAACGCCAAGGAUCGCUGCUUUGAUACCAAAUGAUAAGACCCUAAAGUCUUAUCGUAGGCUCUGAUACCAAAUGAUAAGACCCUAAAGGUCUU
rnacentral:lncRNA from 1 species